UUCAAGAUCACUCUACUCCAUAACACAACCUGCAGAGGCAGACAUGGAAACGCAACUUCUACAAUAACUUUUCACCGAAAUUAGUAAUAAAAAUAAACUAUAACCAUAUACGUAUAGACAAAAAAAUCUGAUUUGGUUGUCCUUUUUUUCCUUUUAAACCAAAUAUUUGAUCUGCUUCAAAAAUUUAAAUAUUCUUGAUAAUCCACACUUACAAAAAUUGUUAUCGGUCGGGCCGAGUUAUGUGGGCUCUUGGCAUAGUUGACUUCUUGAUAUUGGUGAAAUAUGGUUAAAAUUUGUUAAAACUUCUAAUUCUCUUUCCAGAAAAAAGGCAAAAUAAAAUAUUGCAA
rnacentral:lncRNA from 1 species